CUGGGGCCUUCCUACCCCAACCUGUGAACUAGGGACUCUAUUUCAACUCUGUCAGAGUCUUUUUUUCUGUGCUGGGCUAUCUUCAGGCUUGUCCUGCUGCUUGAGGGUCCCAGCCUGGUGCAAGCAGCUGACUUUGCCUCACUAGGGCCUGGCUUGUCCCCUUGGCAUGUCAAGGGACACUGAGGGAGCCUCUGGCCAUCCCAGCACUGCUCAGGAAAAAGAAAAGGGGGACCGUUUGAUGUGUGGCUGCGAACAAUCUGAAGGCUUCUGAAGCCAGACUCAGCUUUCAUUUGGAGGAAGGAGAAGUUUCACAGCUAUGAGGAAACAGUUACAGAGACAAAGCUUGCUGAAAUGAAAACGAACUAAUUACCAUGGAACAUGGUUUUUCUACAAGUCAUUUGGGUGCGAGAGUUAACCAGCUCUUGGCUUUGGGGCCUCUGGUUCUUGCGGCUUUCUGACAGUGUUUUGUGGAGUGAGUGGAUAACCCGUCCUGAAGCCACUUCAGAUGAGCAGGUACAACAAAAGGAAAAAAUGAAGGCCCAGUCUUCUUGGAGGCUAAAUGCCUUGGUGUUCAGUGCUCUGUUGGUAUUAAAUAUGUCUGUCUGCCCUCAAGCCAGCUGUGGUCCCAGAGCUACCUGCCUGAAAGGCUCCUGCCAAAUUGAAAUUGGCAACAACUUCCCCAACAUGUGGACAGGAACUCAUUGCUUAUUUUUCCUGAUGGAUUUUUCUUUUAUUAAAUUGGAUAUGUAAUGAUAAAUAGAAUAUAUUCUGUUUGAGAGGUGGGCGGGAAGUGGGGAAAAUGACUCCAGGAUCUAGGGAUCCUGAAA
rnacentral:lncRNA from 1 species